rnacentral:rRNA from 1 species
GACGAACGCUGGCGGCGUGCUUAACACAUGCAAGUCGAGCGGUAAGGCCCUUUCGGGGGUACACGAGCGGCGAACGGGUGAGUAACACGUGGGUGACCUGCCCUCAGCUCUGGGAUAAGCCCGGGAAACUGGGUCUAAUACCGGAUAUGACUCCAUGACGCAUGUUGUGGGGUGGAAAGCCUUGUGCGGCUAGGGAUGGGCCCGCGGCCUAUCAGCUUGUUGGUGGGGUGAUGGCCACCAAGGCGACGACGGGUAGCCGGCCUGAGAGGGCGACCGGCCACACUGGGACUGAGACACGGCCCAGACUCCUACGGGAGGCAGCAGUGGGGAAUCUUGCGCAAUGGGCGAAAGCCUGACGCAGCGACGCCGCGUGAGGGAUGACGGCCUCGGUGUAAC